rfam:Ovis aries breed Texel chromosome 16, whole genome shotgun sequence.
CCUGUGGCUUAGAUGGUAAAGAGUCUGCCUGCAGUGCAGGAGACCCAGGUUCGAUCCCUGCGUCAGGA